rnacentral:rRNA from 1 species
GAUGAACGCUGGCGGCGUGCCUAAUACAUGCAAGUCGAGCGAACAGACGAGGAGCUUGCUCCUCUGACGUUAGCGGCGGACGGGUGAGUAACACGUGGAUAACCUACCUAUAAGACGGGGAUAACUUCGGGAAACCGGAGCUAAUACCGGAUAAUAUAUUGAACCGCAUGGUUCAAUAGUGAAAGACGGGUUUGCUGUCACUUAUAGAUGGAUCCGCGCCGCAUUAGCUAGUUGGUAAGGUAACGGCUUACCAAGGCAACGAUGCGUAGCCGACCUGAGAGGGUGAUCGGCCACACUGGAACUGAGACACGGUCCAGACUCCUACGGGAGGCAGCAGUAGGGAAUCUUCCGCAAUGGGCGAAAGCCUGACGGAGCAACGCCGCGUGAGUGAUGAAGGUCUUCGGAUCGUAAAACUCUGUUAUUAGGGAAGAACAAAUGUGUAAGUAACUAUGCACGUCUUGACGGUACCUAAUCAGAAAGCCCCGGCUAACUACGUG